CCUGGUGUAGCAGUGCAGUUCCAGCAAGCAUGUCAGAAGUCUUGCUAGUGUGGUACUGGUGGGAUCAGGCUUUGAUGGUGGCAUCUGCAGUGGCCAGAAGGUCAUGACAGCUGGAUCUUAGACAGACAUUCUGAGUCAUGAGGAGGAAGCCAAGUUCUGAGGAUGGUGGAGCAGGAAGAUAGAAGUUGGAACCCCAAUGACCUUGUGAACUAUUCUACUGACUGUGAACUGCCAACUCCGCACUUUUUUACAUGAGCAAGAAAUAAACCUCUUUCUUGUUUAAGCCA